rnacentral:rRNA from 1 species
UACAGAGGUCUCAAGCGUUGUUCGGAUUCAUUGGGCGUAAAGGGUGCGUAGGUGGCGCGUUAAGUCAGGUGUGAAAUUUCGGAGCUUAAUUCCGAAACUGCAUUUGAUACUGGCGUGCUUGAGGACUGGAGAGGAGACUGGAAUUCAUGGUGUAGCAGUGAAAUGCGUAGAGAUCAUGAGGAAGACCAGUGGCGAAGGCGGGUCUCUGGACAGUUCCUGACACUGAGGCACGAAGGCCAGGGGAGCAAACGGG